CCGCCCCCGCCCCUCCUGCCGCGCCGUGCCCUUCCCUCCCCUCCCCGGCAUCCGUGUGGGAGCGGCGGGGGCGGCCCGGCGCUUCCUCCUGCAUGAGGUCACACGGCGGCGGGGGAGGGAGCAGCCUCCCCGCUGCGGCCCCCGCUCCCCGCAGGGCUGAGCUAUCAAUUCAAGCUGCAGUUUGAAGGUUGAACACUUCAACGUCUUCAAAAGUAAGAGUUUCAACUUCCAACACAUUGCAUACCUCUUCCAGCUGAAGUUCUGAACCUGUGAAGCCGCCACCAAUAUCCAACAUGUUCAUCUUAAAGCCAAAUUCUUCCUAAAAUGCAUAGGCAGAAUUACAUCAGCCAGCAGAGGACAAUGAAGUUACUCACUUGACACCAAUUAUUUGGACUCCCAGCUCCUUAGCACAUUCCAUAAGGUGCCUACAGUUCUUCAGGGUGGUGCCAAACUUCAUAUUCAUCUCCUCACCA